AACAGGGGCCCCACGGAAAUGCUAUAAAGACCAGCUAAGGCGCCAAUUUGCUCUAACUGACAUAGGAGAGAGCACCUGGCAGCAGGCGGCUUUGGAAGAAGACAGUUGGAGAUCACUUACAAAGGCCGCAAAAUAUGCAUUUGAGACCAAAAGAAAAUCCACCGGUGGACAAUGAUUAUCUUAGCGCUGGUUCUGGCAAAAUAUUUAUGUCGCAGCAGGGGCUGUGUAACCACGUAAAAUAAUGCACUCCUGAUUCAUCUUGGGACUUGAAUACAGGUCUUUUAUUUCAUUAAGCAAGACUUGCUGUUAUUGUAGGAUUGGUUAAGAACAUUUACUUAGUGAUAUUUGUAUUCCGUCGAGUAAAGAGAAAUGUUUGUCAAAUGUUGUACAUGUUUCGGAUGUUCCUUCAGAGUUGAAGAUAAUUUACUUCCUAGUCCAAACCUCACCGCAGGACGACGGACAGGGUUGAACCAGGGACUAUCGAUACGUCCGCAUGAUCAGGCAGCCACCCAAAUGUAGCAAAACCUUUUUACAAUACUUCUAUUCAAGUCACUCCUUCAUGGAACUUGGAUCCAGGAACCUGGACAGCUGAUCUCAAAAUCUACUCUAAGGAUUUUCAUAGAAAUUGAACAGUUGAUGUAUAUCGCGGAGAAAAGAAUUAAAAGCUGGCUGGUUUUGAAAGGACUAUCGCGUUCUUGAAAGGACUAUAGUGUUCGGAAAUUUCCGAAUCAAUUGAGAGAAGUAGUGAUAGAUGAGUCAGUCAAUCAAUUAGUGAUAGGUGAGUCAGUCAAUCAAUUAAUGAUAGGUGAGUCAGUCAACCAAUUAGUGGUAGGUGAGUCAGUCAAUCAAUUAGUGAUAGGUGAGUCAGUCAAUCAAUUAGUGAUAGGUGAGUCAGUCAAUCAAUUAGUGAAAGGUGAGUCAGUCAAUCAAUUAGUGAAAGGUG